GCGUCGGUGGUGCAACGGUUAGCAUACGCUCCCGGAAAGAAUGAGAUCUGUUGUGAGUGUAAAUCUGGGUUCGAAUCCCGGCUGACGCA